rnacentral:rRNA from 1 species
CGCGUAGGCGGUGCGGUAAGUCACCUGUGAAAUCUCCGGGCUUAACUCGGAGCCUGCAGGCGAAACUGCCGUGCUGGAGUAUGGGAGAGGUGCGUGGAAUUCCCCGUGUAGCGGUGAAAUGCGUAGAUAUCGGGAGGAACACCUGUGGCGAAAGCGGCGCACUGGACCAUAACUGACGCUGAGGCGCGAAAGCUAGGGGAGCAAACA